rnacentral:rRNA from 1 species
GAACUGAUUAGAAGCUUGCUUCUAUGACGUUAGCGGCGGACGGGUGAGUAACACGUGGGCAACCUGCCUGCCUUUACUAGGAUAACUUCGGGAAACCGAAGCUAAUACCGGAUAGGAUCUUCUCCUUCAUGGGAGAUGAUUGAAAGAUGGU